rnacentral:rRNA from 1 species
CCUACGGGAGGCAGCAGUGGGGAAUAUUGGGCAAUGGGCGCAAGCCUGACCCAGCAACGCCGCGUGAAGGAAGAAGGUUUUCGGGUUGUAAACUUCUUUUGUCAGGGACGAAGCAAGUGACGGUACCUGACGAAUAAGCCACGGCUAACUACGUGCCAGCAGCUGCGGUAACACGUAGGUGGCAAGCGUUAUCCGGAUUUACUGGGUGUAAAGGGCGUGUAGGCGGGGAGGCAAGUCAGAUUUGAAAACCA